rnacentral:rRNA from 1 species
UACGUAGGCAGCGAGCGUUGUUCGGAGUUACUGGGCGUAAAGGGUGUGUAGGCGGUUCUUUUAAGUUUGGUGUGAAAUCUCCCGGCUCAACCGGGAGGGUGCGCCGAAUACUGAGGGACUAGAGUACGGGAGAGGAAAGUGGAAUUCCUGGUGUAGCGGUGAAAUGCGUAGAUAUCAGGAGGAACACCGGUGGUGUAGACGGCUUUCUGGACCGUAACUGACGCUGAGACACGAAGGCGUGGGUAGCAAACAGG